rnacentral:pre_miRNA from 1 species
UCUUGUCUUAGAUUUGUUUAGAUAUGCAUGUAUCUAGUCAAGUUUUAGUAUUUAGAUACAUCUAUUACUAAACAAACUUGAGACAAGAAUUUUGGGACGGAGGGAGUACUUG